AGAUAUGAGCGCGAUCUGGCUGUGACUUCUGUCACCCCAUUGAUUGCCAAGGUUGAUCUCAGCUGAUCUGGCUGAAUAGGCAGGUGUCGCCUUCCUCUCUCACCACUCCAUGAGUGUCCCUCCUGAAGCUGCAUGCUCAGUGGAAGAGGACAGCCUUGCCCAAAUGGGGAUGGUGUUCGGUCGAGGGUAUACAAGUAGCUGCGCUCCCCUGCUAGAACCUCUAAACAAGCACUCAAGAACAGUUAACCUUCCAUGUAUGAGGCCCUGCACCACAAAAAAUAAACUUGAAGUCUGUCUUCUAGAACAAAGAUGUGUAUCUCUUC
rnacentral:snRNA from 1 species